AAAUAUUUGAGUUCGGAUACAAAACCAUGACCAAACGUUGGGACAGACUGAGGAAGACAUUGUCCAUGUCAAACAGAUUCUCUCUCCAGAAAGUACCACCUGAAAACUGCACCUAUUUCCAGAAAGUUAGGGAACCAACUCCAGGUGAGAAUUUGCCACAACCCUAUAACUUAUUUACAACGCGAGGAGCAAAUGUGAUAAGAUGACAGAUCAAUAUAAUUUUAUGAUGAUUCAUCAGUAGCAUUCUUUUCAAAAUGUGGACCGAGUUUCUCUAUCAACAUGUGUUACACAGCUUUUGUCUGAAAAAUACCCCAGUAAUGCCCUUUGCAGUCUUAUACACAUGUAUUUAGAAGAGGAUCUCUCUUAUGUUACGCAUCAGCAAAACUGUUGCCAAAUUCCAAGGGGUGUCGAUGUGAGUUCUCUCUUUCCCGUUUUGGCUGUAUUCUUUUUCACAAAUUAACUGGAGCAUUUAUGGCAGCUUAUGCAUGGGUGAAAUGUGAGAGGGAGGAAGACAAGAACUGCAUUGAGAUCCUAAAUGCGGCCAAAAUCCUUGGUAGAGGAGGGAGCAUCUUCCAUGACGACGAUAGGUACGCAAGGCUCAGCCUCAUUAGGAGCGACGACGAUUUUGACAUGCUGAUAAGCCGAUUAGAGAGCCUAGUCGCCAAGGAAGAUGGAGCCAAAAUCAUGUAAUUGUGAAGAAAGAAGAACAGUCAAUCUCGUGUUGAUCUAUGAUUCUGGACAAAGUGAUUGAAUCAUAGGUAUAUACCGUGCGACCUAGAGUGAAGGUCAUGACUAUUGACCUAUUUAAGAAAGAGUAAAGUGAUAGGUCUUAGUUUGUUAGAUGGAGACAAGACCAUGUGAUUGUGAAGAAAGAAGAAUAGUCAAUCUCGUAUUGAUCUGUGACUCUAAAUAAAGUAAUUAAAUCAUAGGUACAUAUCAUGUGAAUUAGAGCGAAGGUCAUGACUAUUGACCUCUUUAAGAAAGAGUGAUGUGAUGGUCUUAGUAUGUAAGAUGGAACCAAAGUCAUGUGAUUAGGAAGAAAGAAAAAUAGUCAAUCUCGUGUUGAUUUGUGAUUGUGGACAAAGAUAUUAAAUCAUAGAUAUAUUUCUUGUGAACUAGAGUGAGGGUCAUGACUAUUGACCUCUUUAAGAAAAAGUAAUGUGAUGGGUCUUAGUUUGUAAAUUGAGACAAGAUCAUGUGAUUGUGAAGAAAGAAGAAUGAUCAAUCUCGCGUUGAUAUGUGAUUCUAGACAAAGUGAUUAAAUCAUAGAUAUAUAUCGUGUGAAUUAGAGUGAGGGUCAUGACUAUUGACCUCUUUAAGAAAAAGUAAUGUGAUGGGUCUUAGUUUGUAAAUUGAGACAAGAUCAUGUGAUUGUGAAGAAAGAAGGGUAGUUAAUCUCGCGUUGCUUGAAGUGAUUAAAUCAUAGGUAUAUAUCGUGUGAAUUAGAGUGAGGGUCAUGACUAUUAGCCUCUUAAAGAAAGAGUAAUGUGAUAGGUCUUAGUAUGUAAGAUGGAACCAAAACCAUGUGAUUGUGAAGAAAGAAAAAUAGUCAAUCUCGCGUUGAUUUGUAAUUGUGGAUGAAGUUAUUAAACCAUAAGUAUAUUUAUUGUGAACUAAAGUAAGGGUCAUGACGAUUGACCUCUUUAAGAAAAAGUAAUGUGGUAGGUCUUAGUAUGAAAAGAUGAAACCAAAAUCAUGUGAUUGUGAAGAAAAAUAACAGUCAAACUCACAUUGAUCGAUAUGAUUCUGGACAAAGGGAUUUAAUCAUAGGCAUGUUUCUUGUGGACUAGAGUGAGGAUCAUGACUACCAACCUCUUUAAGAAAUAGUAAUGUGACAGGUCUUAGUUUGCAAGAUAGAGGCAAAACCAUGUGAUUGUAAAGAAAGAAAAAUGGUCAAUCUCACGAUUACGGAUAAAAUGAUUAAAUCAUACAUAUAUUUCGUGCAAACUAGAGUGAGGGUCAUGACUAUUGACCUCUUUAAGAAAAAGCAAUGUGAUAGAUCUUAGUUUGUAAGAUAAUACCAAAACCAUGUAAUUGUUAAGGGGGAAAAAAAGCAAUCAUCUCACGUUGAUAAGUAGUUAAAUCAUAUGUAUAUUUCCCGUGAAUUAGAGUGACCAUUGACCUCUUUAAGAAAGAGUAAUGUGAUAGGUCUUAGUUUACAAGAUGGAGACAAAACCAUAUGAUUGUGAAGGGGAAAAAAGUCAAUUUCGCAUUGAUUUAUGAUUCUAAACAAAGUGAUUAAAUCAUAAAUAUAUUUUUUGUGAACCAAAGUAAGGGUCAUGACUAUUGACCUCUUCAAGAAAGAUAAUGUGAUAAGCCUUAGUUUGUAAGAUGGAGUCAAAAGCAUAUGAUUAUAAAGAAAGAAAGGCGGUCGAUCUCACGUUGAUUUGUGAAUUUGGAUAAAGUGAUUAAACCAUAGUAUAUUUCCCAUGAACUAGAGUGAGGAUCUUGACUUUGACCUCUUUAAGAAAGCACAAUGCAAUAGGCCUUAAUUUGUAAGAUGGAGCCAAAACCAUGUGAUUGUGAAGGUAAAAAAGUAGCCAAUCUCACAUUGAUAUGUGAUUGUAAACAAAGUGAUUAAAUCUUAGGUAUAUUUCCUGCGAACUAGAGAGAGGAUCAUGACUAUUAACCUCUUUAAGAAAGCGCAAUGUGGUAAAUCUUAGUUUAUAAGAUGAAUGUGAAGAAAGAAAAAAAUCAAUGUUGCAUUGAUCCGUGAUUUUGGACAAAGUGAUUAAAUCAUAGGUAUAUUUCUUGUGAAUUAGAGUGAGGGUCAUUACUACUGACCAUUUUAAGAAAGAGUAAUGUGAUAUAUUUUAGUUUGUAAUAUAUUGCAAACAUUGGUAUAACACAAUACAAUAAAGCAAGACUAUACAUUUCUCUUUUCAUGAGGAGCCACUUUUAAUUGUGGUCUUCAAAUCAUACGCCAUGCUUGAUUAUCACCCUCCUCGACAUUGUCAUCCUACUGGAGUUUUGCAGACACAUUGCACUUACUCUGCCCUUGUAAGCACUUUGUAAGUCUGAUAUGUGCCUAAAUAAUUAUAUCAAACAACUCUUUCUUUUUGGCCAUAGAUUGCUAAAACGACUUAACUAUCUACCCUUCCUUCAAAAAGUACUAUAAAGUUGAAAAUGAAGAAGAAACCAUUUGCACAUAGCACAGCAAAGAGCUCCAAAGUCAAGACAAUAAUGAGUCUUUGGUCGGAGGCUUCACAGUGCAACCCUAAAAUGGAGGGGCAUAAGAGUUUCAUAUCAGCAAGGGAUAAGAGAAUAAAUCCUUUUCGAACUCAUCAUGCGAAAAGCCCACACAUGUCAAUGGGGAAUAGUUUUUUUAUAUGUUCACCUGUUUAUAAAUGACAAAAUAGCUCAAAAGAAACAGGGAGUGCCUCCCAUAGUGCCAAGAUUUGAAUUGAAAUAAUACUCAAAACUGUGAACUUUUAUUCGUGUAAAAUUCUGUAGUGUGUUAAUUCUGAAUGUCCUAAAAAAUUUAGGUUUAGCAUUGCUCAUUUGUCAGAAGACACGGUUACAAAAUCAGGUACCCUCCACAAAUGGGCUCUUUUCCCCUUCUUCCCCCUCCUCUCCAGUUUCUGCAUUUCUUUCUUCUUCAUUUCUUCUUUAACAAUCAUCUAAUUUAACCUCUGCCACACUCACUAAUAGGAUUGUCUCACAUGGUUUGACAUACAUAGCUACCAUAGAAAAUACAGAGCUGAUGAAUAAAGGCAUAGAUGCCACAACUGCAGUGAACACAGUUUAACUCACAAUGAGAAAUUAUUCUAAUCGGAGUACUCACAAGAACGUUGAUGUAACACCACAGCUUUGAGACAAAAGUUAGGGUAUUAUAUAUAGUCUAGGAGUUAGAAUGAAAUACUCUAUCACAGGUUGGUAGGGUUGAGAGCGCAACCUAGCAAAUCCAUGCAGUAAAAUACAAUAUAAUACAAUAAAACUACAUGAAAAUGAGAUACAUUUUUGGAACUUUAGCCAUUUUCGCCAUUUUAAAGUCAUUUUUUAGUAUUCUAACGUUUCUGGACAUUUUUUGAGAGUUCAGCAUACCAGAGCUACAAUCACCUUGUACAAAGCCGAAGAUGUCUGAAGCUAAGUCCAGUGACAUUUCGAUGCCACGGACGAACUAAAGAAAGAUGGCUAGAGCUAAAAGACAAGAAAUCUGAGCCAAGCGGGUGCACUGGUGAUGAGAAUGAAAAAGCAUUGGAUGGCGGACUGCAAGGUGAAAGAUGGAUGAAGAAAUCAACUACACAUUUGCAAGAUGAAGAAAUCAUCUUUGGGAGAGCGAGAGAAUGUUUGGCCAAACUCGAAGCUCCUCCCGCGAACUUUUGGCAUUUUCCACUGAAAUGAAAUAUAACUUUCUUAUCUUUAAAUAAUAAUAAUAAUAAUAAUAAUAAUAAUAAUAAUAAUAAUAAUAAUAAUAAUACAGUUUGUUUAUUAAUGCAUACGUAUUAUGAUAAUGUAAUUUUAGCAUCAAAUAAAAUGGAAUAAGUACAUUGGAUGUCUUAAAAUUUGUCACGAAAAUGCAAUUGAAUCCUAAAACUUUCAAAAAGAACAAUCAAGUCCUAAAACUUGUUAUUACGACUUCACUCCAGUCACUAGCCCUGCCUUCGGCAUCCCCCUCCUUGUGGUUAAGGUAAUGACUUCGGGCAUGAAAGUUCACCUGAGUCCUAAAAUUUUCAAAAAUUUCAAUCAAGUCUUAAAACUUGUAAUGAAAAUACAAUUAAAUCUUAAAACUUUCAAAAAGUGCGAUAAUUGGAAUGACCUAGAUUGGACUAAUUUCAUAAGUUUCAAGACUUGAUUGCAUUUUUUUGAAAGUUUUAGAACUCAAUUGUAUUUUGUGACAAGUUUUAAGACUUUAUUUCACUUUUUGAAAAUUUUAAGAUUCAAUUGCACUUUGUGACAAAUUUUAAGACUUAAUUUCACUUUUUGAAACUUUAUGACUCAAUUACACUUUAUGACAAAUUUUAGAAAUUUCAAUGCAUUUAUUCCAAAUAAAAGUCAUAUCUCAAGUUCUAAGGACUUAAGCCGAAUUGAGAGAGAGAGAGAGGAUGAGGCAUGGAAGGUGAUGUCGGAAAACAAAACAGGCGGCUUUCUCCAGCGUUUGAGUUUUUCUUUUUUUUACUUAAAUAAAAAAGGGCUUCCUUUGAAUUUCUUUAGCUCUAAACAGAGAGGCCCAUGAAAGUCAGCCCGAUUGGGUUUGCUCAAUAUGAAGCCCAAAUCAAUGGUCGACUUGAGGACCAUUUGGAUUUUUUUUUUUUUUUUGGAUAAGUGUCUUACAAAUCUUUGUCACAAAUGUACAAUUGAAUCCUAAAAUAGUCAAAAAGUAUAACUGAGUCCUAAAAAACUCAUCAUAAAAGUACAAUGGAUUUCUUUUCAAAAAGUGCAAUUAAAUACAAAAAAUUAUAAAGUUGGUGAAAUCAAAUCCUUUCAUUAACUACAUCCAACUUGAUAAAUGUAAAAUUAUAGCAGUUUUUAGGAUUGAUUGCAUUAACUUGAUAAAUUUUAAGACUUGAUUGCACUUUUUAAAAUUUUAGAACUUAAUUAUACUUUUGAAAUAAAUUUUCAGAUUCAAUUACAUUUUUUGAAAAUUUUAGAAUUCAAUUGCACUUUCGUGACAAGUUUUUUAGGACUUUAAGUGCAUUUAUUCUUUUAUUCUUUUUUUAUGUUUUAUUUUUCUCUAUAUAUAUCAAAACUUCGUUUGUUUCGCAGAAAAUAUUUUCCAGGAAAAUACCUAUCGAAUUUUUCAUGAAAAUUGUUGUCCCCACUUUUUAAGACAAAAUCCUAGCUCUCGAAUCAAAAAGUCUCUACAAUUCAUUUCACUUAGCCCCAACCUAGCCAACACGAACAAGAUUCUCACGGGAUUGGGAUUAGUUCUUCGUCGUCCUCAAUGAACGAUCUACGCCAUCUAAUCUUGAACCACAUGAUCAACAUGGCAUGGCAACACAAUUCUUUCCACAUCAUCUACUUUCUCCUUAGGGUUCAAUUGUUAUUUGUAUGAUGUGAAUUUGAAGUAAAUGUAUGGCAAGGAACGAGCUGGGUUGCUAGUUCACGAAGCUCUGUAAGGGCAUAGCGAUGCUUGUGGGAGGCCACAUUGCAAUGCAAAUCCUUCUUACGGCUAUCAAUUAUCUUGCUUUGAUUCACGCAACGCUUUGUUAGUUCCGCUAGUGUCUUGAUCAAUCAAUUUCUUUUUUCAUCUUUUUUAUUAUUUUUUAUUGGAGGGUCUGCUUUGCAUGCCUUGACAAGGAAAUAUCCUUCCACUAAUUUUAAAGUAGAAAUCGAUAAUACAAGUAGAAAUCGAUAAUACAAGUCCUAAAACUUAUUGAGAAAACAAUGAUGUAAAUAGAUAUAAAAACUCUAGCAGGUUAAAUUUAAAUAAUUGACUCAAAGUGGGAUCAAUUUCAAGAGUUACUCAAGGGCUUCCUAUUUUUAACUUAUAAUUUUGAUUUUAUAUCUUGCUUGUUAUUCCGCAUAAAAAAGUGAUUCAUAAAAUUUAGAAUUAGUAGAGACUUUCUUCUGAGCUAAACAUUGCUUUGAAAAUUCUUCUCCCUUUUUUUUUUACAUAUGACAAAACAAAAUUCAGAACCAUAUCCACCCUGCUAGGGAAAAUCGAGGAAAGUGAAUCCAGCACCAACCACAGACAAAAAAGUACAGAAUGUGAUGCACGGAAGGGGCACCUCUAGAAGACCUAAUCUCUAAGAGAAUAGCACUCAUAAAAGUUCAAGUUUUACAGAAAGGAAAUGAUGUCCUACUCUCUAAACUGUUCUGACUUCUUAUAGGAUUGAUUUUGCUUCGUGCUCCGUCGUUUUCAAGGCCGACCGAUAUGAUCGAUCACGGUUAAAGCAUACUCCCGUUCGCUUAUGGGGGAAAAGGUUUAUGAGCACAUGUCCCGUUGGUGUAGAGAAUGAAGUCGUGAGUUUCCGUAAAUCAGUUUCUACCGCUCAAAAUUAUACUUGAAAAUCCUAAUUCAUAUGGAAAAUCCUCAAUCAAGUAAUUAACAAAAAAAAACAGAGAAACUAGUUCACGUCCACACACGUGUAUCAUGAUGUCAUGGCACUAGAAUCGCAGGUGGUGCGCUGUGUUCUUUAACUUUAGGCUCGAAUUUGAAAUUUCUUGCGAACGUCAGGUGGAUCAAUUUUUCAUACAACGGUCCACGUGACCGAUCUCCCAUUGGUUGGAGCGUUGGAACGUCAUUGAGGACGCAGGAGGACGAGCUAAAUCCCGUCACCUUCAUCUCCAUCUCAUACUCUUGGCUAAUUGGCUUUUCCUUUCACCAACUACGUUAGACUAUUCCACCCGUCGUUCUCUGUGCUCUGUUCUUCUCCUUGAUUCCCUCUCUCUCACUGAAAAUAUUCCUGGUUGGAGAUACAGAGGGAGGGAGAGAGUUUUGGUGAUGAGAGCAUGGCCAGAUCAGAGGGCUCAAUCUUUAAGCUAUGCUUCUUGUGUUCCGUGAUUGCGAAUCUCUUCUUCGGGGUGAAUCUCUACGUGGGUCGCCGUGGCGUGUGGGGGUGGAAGUGGCGCGGCGAUGAGGUGAGCAUCCAAGGCCUGAGUUGGAGCGGGAGGGCAGCGGCGGAGGCCGAGUUGGCGGCGGCGCGGGAGUGCUCGGGCCACGGGAGGGCGUACCUCGACGGCGUGGUGGUCGACGGGAGGCCGGCCUGUGAGUGCAACACUUGCUACGGCGGUCCAGAGUGCUCCCUCUUCUUGCCCUCUUGCUCUGCCGAUGCCGACGAGUUAGUUUCUGCGUCUCGAACUCUCGAUCAAUCCCGAACAAAUGGUCAAACUAAUCUCGUCAGAUCACGACAACGACCGCAUAACUACCCCCUUGGGGAAGAACACUGACAAUUCUCAAUUAUCUGUCGUUUUAAGUUGAACUCAUGUCAAUCAUUAACUACAGGACAUGAAAGCCUUUCGUUCCUUAUUUACGUCGUUGGAACAUGCGCAGAUAUCAAUAAAUUGUUACUGUAAUAAGGAUAGCUGACAGUCCCAUCCCGAAUUAGAUUCGAAAUAAAAGGUUUUCCUGAGGAAUUCACUGAAUCAGUGUUACUAAUUGCCCUUUGAAAGAUUCUCCGUCACCCGUGGAAUGCCAAUGUGAAUAUCCAAGGCCUUAGUUAGAUGCGAACAUGUAACUUUUCACCUCAGUUUAUUAUUCGAGUAGUGAAAGUUGGCAUGUUCACCUGUAGUAUCACCAUCUUCAGUAUGAUACUCAAAUUAGAAGCCUUGAGCGUGUUCUUUGUUCCUAUUCACAUUAUGUGAAAAUUCAUGGAUCAGUGGUGCACCUACCUGCAUGUGCCCCUUAUGGAUCGGAACCAAUCUUCCACUCGGCACGUAUUGGGGUUUUUAUGUUUCAGGCUUUCAUGGUCCUGUCAGGCUAUGACACCUUGGGUAUGCGAGUGUUAACUCAUUAAGUCUAAACCACCUUGUGUUGGUAAUGGUUUAAGGUUUUAGAACAGGGAACGGCAUUUUCCAUUCUUUCCAAAUUUCCUUAAUUCACAGUCCUUCAAUUUUAUUUUAUUGUUUGGUUGCAGCGGAGAUCCAUUGUUCUUGGAGCCAUUCUGGAAGCAGCAUGCAGAGAGCAGUGCAGUAGUGGUGGCGGGGUGGCACAGAAUGAGCUACUCCUUCAGUGACCAGACCACCUUGUCCAAAGAGCUUGAGUCUCUCCUCAGGAAGCUGCACUCCCUGGUUGGGAAUGCCAUCACAGACGGCAAAUACAUUUUGUUUGGUGUUGGCUCUACCCAACUCCUCAGUGCUGCUGUCCAUGCUCUCUCUCAUCUCAACUCUUCAUUUCCUGCUUCAGCUGUUGCCUCAAUCCCCUAUUAUGCGGUCAGCAUUUUUCCUUUCGCGAGCUUGUAAUGGACCCUGUGUUUCGUCCUGCUCCAUCCUUACGCUAAAUUUUGACGUAAUUUCACCGUUCGGGUAUCGGUGUUUUUCUUCUUCUUCACAGCUUUAUCAAAUGCAAACAGAGCUCUUCGACUCAGCAGACUGCAGCUUUCAGGGAGACCCGGUGCGUUGGAAGAACGUGACCAACACAACUGGAGACAUCAUCGAGUUCGUGACAGCACCGAACAAUCCCGAUGGACAGUUAAAUGAGGCCAUUCUCCAUGGCCCUAAUGUUAAAACUAUUCACGACCGCGCUUAUUACUGGCCACAUUUCACCGGAAUUCCUUCCCCAGCGGACGAGGACCUCACUAUCUUCACUAUCUCUAAGCUCACUGGUCAUGCCGGUAGCAGAUUCGGGUAAAUAUGCCAAAACCCUUAACUUUUUCCCCAGAUUCCGAUGUUUCCUGCUAUAUAUCACGGUUCAAAUUGUACUUUGAUGUUGCUGAUUCAGCUGACUGUAUCAUUGCUUUCGGUAAAGUCUUCUAGCUUGCCCAUUGGAGAUCAAUUCUUUCAUUGUUUACAUUGGCUAUCAAUAGAUGGGCAUUCAUAAGGAAUGAAGAGGUGUACCAAAGGAUGAACACAUUCCUGCAAUUGAACACGAUGGGCGUCUCGAGGGACACCCAGUUAAGAGCUCUGAAGCUUCUGAAAGUAAUCAUCGAAGAUGGAGGGAGGGAAAUAUUCAAGUUCGGAUACAAAACCAUGGCCAGACGUUGGGACAGACUGAGGAAGACACUGUCCACGUCAAACAGAUUCUCUCUCCAGAAAGUAGCACCUGAAAACUGCACCUAUUUCCAGAAAGUUAGGGAACCAACUCCAGGUGAGAACUUGCCACAACCCUAUAACUUCUUUACAACGGGAGGAGCAAAUGCGAAUAAGAUGACAGAUCGAUAUAAUUGUACAAUGAUUCGUCAGUAGCAAUCUUUUCGAAAUGUGGACCGAGUUUCUCUAUCGACAACACGUGUCACACAGCUUUUGUCUGAAAAAUAGCCCAGUAAUGCCCUUUGCAGUCUUAUAGACAUGUAUUUAGAAGAGGAUAUCUCUUAUGUUACGCAUCAGCAAAACUGUAGCCAAAUUCCAAGGGGUGUCGAUGUGAGUGCUCUCUUUCCCGUUUUGG
rnacentral:lncRNA from 1 species